rnacentral:tRNA from 1 species
GCUUCCGUAGCUCAGUUGGUUAGAGCACCGGCCUGUCACGCCGGGGGUCGACGGUUCAAGUCCGUUCGGAGGCGCCA